CAUACUACGUUGAAACACCGGUUCUAGUCCGAUCACUGAAGUUAAGCAACGUCGAAUCAGAUCAGUACCUAGAUGGGUGACUGCCUGGGAAUACCAGAUGCUGUAAU